rnacentral:snoRNA from 2 species
GGGUUGAGGAUGACAUUUCAAUGGGGCUGAAAAGAGGUGAUGUCUUGAAAAACAGGCUCAAUAGAAUUAUGCUGAGGCCC